rnacentral:rRNA from 1 species
AUGGAUCCAUGGAUGCAGGCGUAUCUCGAGCGGAUCGACACCAUGCUCGACGCCUACACCGACGCCACCAGGUCCCUCAUCGAGAAAGUGGACGCACUGGUCGUCACCUGGCGGCCAGACCUGGAGAAGAGGUCCUCCCACACCGCCGUCGUCCACGGUCCACCAGCGCCGACCUCGGCGCUCGAGACCACUACUGAGGCGUCCGAACCUGUCUCUGGCAUCUACUACUCCACCACCAAGGCCCAGGAGAUCCCCACGGUCGCCCAUGAUGCAACUCCGAUAUGCAUUCCGAUGGUGCCUGUCACCUGUUCGACGGAUUGCUCGACCCAGGUCGACGCCAUCGACAACGCCGACGAAGUCCAUGACGCCGCCACCGUCGCAACGGAGGUACGCAACACUACAACAGCACUCGGCCCCGAGCUCGCGGUCGACCUCUGCAAGACCAUGGCGACCACCAAGGUAGCCACCUGUGGUCACUACGGCAAGCUCGACGGCCUCAACAUCCCCGUGAAGGCCAGCAUCAGCCCGCCGCACCACGUCCAGGAUGCAUUCCCAAAUUAUUCCACAAUCAGCAACUGUCGCGCCGAUGUUGCCGGGACGGAUGAGUACGAACUCGUGGAGGCCACUCCAGGCGUCGCCAUUGAGCUUGCCAUCCUCCCAGGCGUCUCCUCCUUCAUGAACAAGCUAUUCCGGAAGCAUGACAUGGACGUCUCGCCGCCCACAAGGCACAAAGGGCAGCCAAUACGGCCGACACCAUGGCCGUCAUUUCUGGUGCAUCAUAGUGCAAAGGGGAAUGAGAUUCGACCCACUCCGUGGCCAUCGUUUUCUUGCUCUCAUGAAGGUAUGACUCUGAAUCAUGAAACUCUGCUGCCUCAUGUUACAUGUGAGAUGAAGAUUACUUGCUAG